ACAGAAGGGGUCCCUUGUUACUGCUGGGCAGGGUUCUGGGCUGUGGUAAAAAUUACGAUUUUCCACAAGACUAUUCUGACACUACACAAGCAAGGAGGGGAUCCUCAUUUCUUCUGAGGUAGAGAGACUGAGACUAGGGGAUAUUGAAUCAUUUACCCGAGGACACACUAUUAGGAAGUGUCAGGGUUAGGAUUCUAUAUCCAGUCCUGUCUCGUAUUCCUCUCUUACAUAGACUCUGUGCUUCAGCCAAUCUGCUUAACCGAAGAUGAAAUUAAAAGAUAAAAUGGAUGCAAAAUACUUAUUUAGUAAGAAAGCAGUGAAUGGAGCAUAUAUGUGGUUCGUAGGGUAACUCAGCUCCACAGUACAUUGGGGACCCAGACCUUUGCAUCCUAUUGGAGUAUUCUGAAGAGUAGGAAUGAAGGUGAAGAGUAGAAGUAGAAUCUGAAAAAGUAGGACAACUGGCUUCAGAUAUAGAAGCAUUAUCUGAGCUCAGUAAUUUUUUUUCAAGGAAAAAAGCAUGAAUAAAUACAUGUGUGAAACAUUUUUGAAGUGAUAGAGUAUUAACAGGGAAACUACUCAUUUGACUCAGGCCCACUACUACCCUGGAAAAUACUGGAACAUGUCAAGAUUAUUUUUUAAAUUAGUUAAUACAUCUAAAGGGAGUUGCACAGUGCCUGAUUCAUGGUAGUACUCAAUAUCAGAUAGUUGUUGAUGUUAUUUUAUGAUUU